GUACACACCGCCCGUCGCUCCUACCGAUUGGAURAUGCGGUGAAAUCUCCGGACCGACUUGGGCUUGCAYGGCACUUCGGUGUCUCCCGCGUCGGGAAGUUGCUUAAAUCUUAUCAUCUAGAGGAAGGAGAAGUCGUAACAAGGUAUCCGUAGGUGAACCUGCAGAAGGAUCA
rnacentral:rRNA from 1 species